rnacentral:rRNA from 1 species
AUACGGAGGGGGCUAGCGUUGUUCGGAAUUACUGGGCGUACAGCGUCCGCAGGCGGAUAAUUAAGUUAGAGGUGAGAUCCCAGGGCUCAACCCUGGAACUGCCUUUAAAACUGGUUGUCUUGAGUUAUGGAGAGGUAAGUGGAAUUCCUAGUGUAGAGGUGAAAUUCGUAGAUAUUAGGAGGAACACCAGAGGCGAAGGCGGCUUACUGGACAUAUACUGACGCUGAGGGACGAAAGUGUGGGGAGCGAACGGGAUUAGAAACCCCAGUAGUCC